CUCUUCAGCUCCUGUGGUGACCUGGGAAUCUAUCUGUGAGGUGGAGGGCCUGUUAGCAAGACUCCAUAUCACUUUGCUGAGAGGUUUUUUUCCUUUUUUCCUUUUCACCCAGUAAAUUCCUCUCUAAUCACCCUUCAACAUGUCUGUGCACCCAAUCCUUCCUGGUCAUGUGACAAGAACUUGUUUUUUUCUACAUUUUUGGUGGCCUGUAUGGGGACAUGGGAAAAGUGUAGGGCAUGAGUUCCUGGCUGCCCCAUAAGGAAGGAAACUGCCAGAAGCCCUUUAGAAUGAAGAAAAGUGAGAAGAUUCUUGGAAAGUGGACUGAGCUUUUAACUCUGCAAGGGACCCUCAGCCCUCUUGGCAUACUGAAGUGAACACUCUGCAGCUAAGCACCACUGAAUCCAGCAGGACUUGAGACUUCAUCAUCUGCCAAAAAUGAGCUUUCCUAACAACAUGGGACCUAUUUGUCUAAAAAUAAACUGUCCUAGCCACAAGAGAUGAGACAAAACCCAAGACCACAGACUCAUUUUCUUCUAAAAUGCUCUGUCUGAAAGAUUUUAAGAAGAAAACGGGAGAGAAAUAUAAAAAGAAAAUAAAAACUUGGGACCCCAAUUCACUAUGCCAAAAGGGAAAAAAUUAAGCUGAAAGCUGAGUAAUGCAAGAAGCUGCCUUUCUUUUUGUUCCUAAGCAAAUAGCUACAGAUAAAAGGUUUAGUAUCUCCACAGGUAGCUACUCUAGGUUCACUUUAUCUUAUGUAAAGUGCUGAUUUGCAGAGCAUGAGAUGAAUACAUAGUUGACCCUUCCCCUAACCGCUCCUUUUCUCUUGCAAUAUGUGGAUUCAGUAAUGUGACCAUACCCUACCUCUUUCCCCUCCAGCCUGCUUUUCCCCAUUAAAUAUUGAAGCCCUCAAAAUAAUACUUGGAGAAAGGCAUAGACAUAUCACCCAGGUGGGUCCUUAACCUUUGCAAAAUAAACUUCUAAAUUGAUUGA